rnacentral:misc_RNA from 1 species
AAGACUAUAGACCUGCGGAGUACCUGCGGAGGGAUCAUUAACAAAUCCAAUAUAGCCGGGUAACUUUUUGGUUAUCGGUGAAUAUUUAACCGCCGGUCUUAACGGACUGGUUGGAUAUAAAUGUGUGUUAUGUUGACAGUGUGUGUAAAUUUUAAUUAUUGACAACUUUCAGCAACGGAUCUCU